rnacentral:lncRNA from 1 species
UGGGGGAGAGGAAAACGAGAGGCAAAUAAUGUAAAUGCAAGAGAUGAGUUUGUGAUAGGUACUUGGUAGAUAUGCUUCACUUGAAUACUCCCCGGCAACGGCGCGAGAAAUUCUUCUUGCUACUUCUUGAGCUUGCGUUGGUUUUUCCCUUGAAGAGGAAAGGCUGAUGAAGAAAAGUAGAGAUAAGUAUUUCCCUCAGUUUGAGAACCAAGGUAUCAAUCCAGUAGGAGUAUCAAGAUGAGGCACCAAUGAACCUGCGCAAAAACAAACAAACUUACACCCAACGCGAUAAAGGGGUUGUCAAUCCCUUCACGAUUACUUGCAAGGUGAGAUCUGAUAGUGAUGAAAGGUAAAUAUAAAGAAAAGUGCAGCAAGGUAUUUUUGGUAUUUUUCUAUGUAGAUCUGAAUAUAUAAUGUGUAAGAUAGACCCGGGGGCCAUAGUGUUCACUAGAGGCUUCUGUCAUGAUAGCAAGUAUUACGGUGGGUGAACAAAUUACUGUCGAGCAAUUGAUACAAUGGCACAAAGUCAUGACGAUAUCUAAGGCAAUGAUCAUACAUAUAGCCAUCACGUCCGAGACAAGUAGGCCGAUACUUUCUGCAUCUACUACUAUUACUCCACACAUCGACCGCUAUCCAACAUGUAUCUAGUGUAUCAAGUUCAUAACAAACGGAGUAACGCCUUAAGCAAGAUGACAUGAUGUAGAGGGAUAAAUUCAUGCAAUAUGAUAUAAACCCCAUGUUUUUACCCUUGAUGGCAACAACAUGAUGCGUGCCUCGCUACCCCUUCUGUCACUAGGUGAGGACACCGCACGGUAUGAACCCAAAACGAAGCACUUCUCCCAUUGCAAGAAUUAUAGAUCAAGUUGGCCAAACGAAACCCAUAACUCGAAGAGAAUUACAAGGAUAUGAAAUUAUGCAUAUAAGAAAUCAGAGGAGACUCAAA